CCUAUAUAUGCAUAUACAUCUUCAAAGGUCCUUCAUCAAGCCCGGUCCCAAAUGUAAUUAAGAUUUUUUUCAGGAUAUAAACAAACAAGCAGAGCAGCCGGAAUAAGGGGAGGGGGCGCAGCGCAAACCUAAAAAUGUGGACUGUCUGAAGGUUCCUGAGGACUGGAUGAGGAAACACUACCUUACUGCAUACCCUGUCCAAGGUCACAGGGGGGCUUGGAGCCUAUUGAAGACAGCUUAGGACGCAAGGCUGGGGUCCGGCCUGGAUGGGAUACCAGCCCAUUACAGGAAAAUAAAGACAGCGGUGGAAAGCAAAGACUCCAGGUAUCGGGCUGUCAGCUCCUUUUCGUCUGCGGUGUUUCAUCGACGAUGUGGAAGCCGGCGUGCAGGGAAGCGCCUGGGAUCUGAGAGCUGAGAUUCGGGGCCAAGUUUUCCCGAGUGCUGCACCACCCAAAGUAAAUCUUAACUCUUUCGUUUCAGAUUCAUUCUGUUUGGUUUUAAUUGGUAGAUAUCGGUCCUAUUAGAUGCUGUGCAUCCCAAACUGUGAGUCUCAAACGCAUUUAGUACACACAGGCAGAAAAAAUUAUGUUCAUGAAGCAGAAUUGAUAUUGGUAUGAAAAAACUAAUGUUUCUGCCUCAAAAGACAGAAGUCGGGGAUCACGGGAGUCCUGAACCUUAAGACAUUCAGCUGGUGAGUUAAACAUGAGAAAGGUGAUCAAUCACUUAACAGACUGAUUAGGUAAGACUGAUUUUACAGUGCUGGAUUAAGGUCCUGUAAUCCUUACGCUCCAAGGCAUCUAAAACCAUAAAACAAAAGAAAAUUAUCAUUCUGAAACUUUUUUUGGCAGAUACUGCUACAUUGUCUACUAUCGUUAUUACAAUGGAAAGUUUCAACAGGGGUAUAACAG